rnacentral:rRNA from 1 species
GAUGAACGCUGGCGGCGUGCCUAAUACAUGCAAGUCGAGCGAACAGACGAGGAGCUUGCUCCUCUGACGUUAGCGGCGGACGGGUGAGUAACACGUGGAUAACCUACCUAUAAGACUGGGAUAACUUCGGGAAACCGGAGCUAAUACCGGAUAAUAUAUUGAACCGCAUGGUUCAAUAGUGAAAGACGGUUUUGCUGUCACUUAUAGAUGGAUCCGCGCCGCAUUAGCUAGUUGGUAAGGUAACGGCUUACCAAGGCAACGAUGCGUAGCCGACCUGAGAGGGUGAUCGGCCACACUGGAACUGAGACACGGUCCAGACUCCUACGGGAGGCAGCAGUAGGGAAUCUUCCGCGAUGGGCGAAAGCCUGACGGAGCAACGCCGCGUGAGUGAUGAAGGUCGUCGGAUCGUAAAACUCUGUUAUUAGGGAAGAACAAAUGUGUAAGUAACUAUGCACGUCUUGACGGUACCUAAUCAGAAAGCCACGGCUAACUACG